AUGGAAGAUAGAUUGAUCUGGGCUUGGGAACCAAAUGGGUCCUUCUCGGCGAGAUCGGCCUACAGGGCGUUCUUUGCUGGGAGAGUGGAGGCCGCUGGGGCCGUGCAAAUCUGGCGGUCAAGAGCGCCGGGGACCUGCAAAUUCUUCGCAUGGCUGGCGGCUCGGGAGAGGUGUUGGACGGCUGACAGGCUUGCGCGUCGGCACCUACCGCAUCCUCCGGCUUGCCCCUUCUAUGAUCAGGAGCCGGAGACAAUCAACCACAUCCUUCUCGGCUGCGUCUUUGCUAGACAAGUGUGGUUCACCAUUCUCGACCACUGGGACAAGCUAACUUGGUUGCCAACUGCGGAUGACAAUCUGGUGGAAUGGUGGACCUCCACCAACCCGCAGCCAAAGCUUAGGGAGGAGACUUGGACCGUCAUUGCAUUGGUGACUUGGAUGUUGUGGAAACGCAGAAAUGAUGUAGUGUUCAAUGGAGCGACAGCCUCCACAAGUGAGCUCCUCAGGAAGAUUGAUCUACAAGGGCAAGACUGGAGGGCAGCAGGGCUACUGCGUGAGGCGGGAUCACUCCCGAUUAGAGUAGAUGAGUGGGUUAGUAGCGAGUAG
rnacentral:rRNA from 1 species